rnacentral:tRNA from 1 species
GGCAGGUCAGGGUUGGUGUGACCGACGCUCUGUAAGUUCGUCGGCUUUUACCUUCGAAGGUUCGAAUCCUUCAUCUGCCA